rnacentral:rRNA from 1 species
GACGAACGCUGGCGGCGUGCUUAACACAUGCAAGUCGAACGGCAACGCACCAGCUUGCUGGUGUGGAUGAGUGGCGAACGGGUGAGUAACACGUGAGCAACCUGCCCCUGACUCUGGAAUAAGCUCUGGAAACGGCGUCUAAUACAGGAUACGAGAAGGGUCCGCAUGGGCACUUUCUGAAAAGUUUUUCGGUUGGGGAUGGGCUCGCGGCCUAUCAGCUUGUUGGUGAGGUAAUGGCUGACCAAGGCGACGACGGGUAGCCGGCCUGAGAGGGCGACCGGCCACACUGGGACUGAGACACGGCCCAGACUCCUACGGGAGGCAGCAGUGGGGAAUAUUGCACAAUGGGCGAAAGCCUGAUGCAGCGACGCCGCGUGUGGGAUGACGGCCUUCGGGUUGUAAACCUCUUUCAGCAGGGAAGAAGCGAAAGUGACGGUACCUGCAGAAGAAGCACCGGCUAACUACGUG